UACGAAGGGGACUAGCGUUGUUCGGAAUCACUGGGCGUAAAGCGCACGUAGGCGGAUUUGUAAGUCAGGGGUGAAAUCCCGGGGCUCAACCUCGGAACUGCCUUUGAUACUGCGAGUCUUGAGUCCGAUAGAGGUGGGUGGAAUUCCUAGUGUAGAGGUGAAAUUCGUAGAUAUUAGGAAGAACACCAGUGGCGAAGGCGGCCCACUGGAUCGGUACUGACGCUGAGGUGCGAAAGCGUGGGGAGCAAACAG
rnacentral:rRNA from 1 species